rnacentral:rRNA from 1 species
AAUAGAUACCCGGGUAGUCCAUGCCGUAAACGUUGGGAACUAGAUGUAGGGCCUGUUCCACGGGUUCUGUGUCGUAGCUAACGCAUUAAGUUCCCCGCCUGGGGAGUACGGCCGCAAGGCUAAAACUCAAAGGAAUUGACGGGGGCCCGCACAAGCGGCGGAGCAUGCGGAUUAAUUCGAUGCAACGCGAAGAACCUUACCAAGGCUUGACAUAUAAAAGAACACUGCAGAGAUGCAGGACUCUUUGGACACUUCUAUACAGGUGGUGCAUGGUUGUCGUCAGCUCGUGUCGUGAGAUGUUCGGUUAAGUCCGGCAACGAGCGCAACCCUCGUCCUAUGUUGCCAGCGGUUCGGCCGGGAACUCAUGGGAUACUGCCGUGGUCAACACGGAGGAAGGUGGGGAUGACGUCAAAUCAUCAUGCCCCUUAUGUCUUGGGCUUCACGCAUGCUACAAUGGCCGGUACAAAGAGCUGCGAUACCGCGAGGUGGAGCGAAUCUCAAAAAGCCGGUCUCAGUUCGGAUUGGGGU